UGACGUUAACGUCAGAAGAAGCACCGGCUAACUCCGUGCCAGCAGCCGCGGUAAUACGGAGGAUCCAAGCGUUAUCCGGAAUCAUUGGGUUUAAAGGGUCCGCAGGCGGAUUUAUAAGUCAGUGGUGAAAGCCUACAGCUUAACUGUAGAACUGCCAUUGAUACUGUAAGUCUUGAAUUCGGUCGAAGUGGGCGGAAUAUGUCAUGUAGCGGUGAAAUGCUUAGAUAUGACAUAGAACACCGAUAGCGAAGGCAGCUCACUAGGCCUGGAUUGACGCUCAGGGACGAAAGCGUGGGGAGCGAACAGGAUUAGAUACCCUGGUAGUCCACGCCCUAAACGAUGUCAACUAGGUGUGUGAAAGUAUAUCUUUUGCGUAUCGAAGCUAACGCGAUAAGUUGACCGCCUGGGGAGUACGGCCGCAAGGCUAAAACUCAAAUGAAUUGACGGGGGCCCGCACAAGCGGUGGAGCAUGUGGUUUAAUUCGACGCAACGCGAAGAACCUUACCUGGUCUUGACAUCCUGCGAACUUUCUAGAGAUAGAUUGGUGCCUUCGGGAACCGAGAUACAGGUGCUGCAUGGCUGUCGUCAGCUCGUGCCG
rnacentral:rRNA from 1 species